ensembl:lncRNA
CGCGGCUGGGGCGGCGGCGGCGGUGGCGGCGGCGGCGCGGGCUGCGGGCCUCACCGCCCGGGCCCUCCGCGGCGGCCUCCCCGCCCGCGUCCCGGCCCGCGUCCCCGGCCGCCCGCCAGCCGCCGCCGCUUCCGUCUCGUCCUUCCUUCUGUUCCCGCCGCCGCCGCGCCUCAGCGCUAGGGGCGGCCCGAGCGCUUUGUGGACGCGCUCGGCGCUCACCUAGGACUGUCACCGGCUCCUUCGGGGCCCGCGGGAGCGCUCCCGAAAGACUCCGCGGGUGGUGGUGACGGUGUCGGGAUCCCGGUCCCCACCGGCCCCGAGAGCUACUCCUUCCCCGCGCCCCGCUCAGCGCGAAAGCUGCGGGAAGCUCCAGUCUAAGGCAACUGACAAAGAUGGAGAAGCUCUAUAUAGUCAGCAAAAACAAGACCGGGAGUUGAAUGUGGCUCAGAUCAUGAACUCCUUAUUGCCAAAUUCAAACUUAAAUUGAAGAAAGUAGGGAAAACCACUAGACCAUUCAGGUAUGACCUAAAUAAAAUCCCUUAUGACUAUACAGUGGAAGUGAGAAAUAGAUUUAAGGGAGUAGAUUGAAUAGACAGAGUUCUUGAUGAACUAUGGAUGGAGGUUUGUGACAUUGUACAGGAGACAGAGAUCAAGACCAUCCCCAUGGAAAAGAAAGGCAAAAAAGCAAAAUGGCUGGCUGAGGAGGCCUUAUAAAUAGUUGUGAAAAGAAGGGAAGUGAAAAACAAAGGAGAAAAGGAAAGAUAUAAGCAUCUGAAUGCAGAGUUCCAAAGAAUGGCAAGGAGAGAUAAGAAAGCCUUCCUCAGCGAUCAAUGCAAAGAAAUAGAGGAAAACAACAGAAUGAGAAAGACUAGAGAUCUCUUCAAGAAAAUUAGAGAUACCAAGGGAACAUUUCAUGCAAAGAUGGGCUUGAUAAAGGACAGAAAUGGUAUGGACCUAACAGAAGCAGAAGAUAUUAAGAAGAGGUGGCAAGAAUACACAAAAGAACUGUACAAAAAAGAUCUUCACAACCCAGAUAAUCACGAUGGUGUGAUCACCAGCCUAGAGCCAGACACCCUGGAAUAGAAAGUCAAGUGGACCUUAGGAAGCAUCACUAUGAACAAAGCUAGUGGAGGUGAUG